rnacentral:rRNA from 1 species
UACGGGGGGAGCAAGCGUUGUCCGGAUUUACUGGGCAUAAAGAGCGUGUAGGCGGAGUAGUAAGUCAGUGGUGAAAUCUCUCGGCUUAACCGAGAAUGUGCCACUGAUACUGUUACUCUUGAGUUCGGAAGAGGGAAGUGGAAUUCCUGGUGUAGCGGUGAUAUGCGUAGAUAUCAGGAAGAACACCAGUAGCGAAGGCGGCUUCCUGGUCCGAUACUGACGCUGAGACGCGAAAGCGUGGGGAGCAAACAGGAUUAGAUACCCGCGUA